CCUACGGGAGGCAGCAGUGGGGAAUAUUGGGCAAUGGAGGCAACCCUGACCCAGCAACGCCGCGUGAAUGAUGAAGGUCUUCGGAUUGUAAAGUUCUUUUCUAAGGGAAGAGGAAGGUAACGGUACCUUAGGAAUAAGCCUCGGCUACCUACGUGCCGGCAGCCGCGGUAAUACGUAGGAGGCAAGCGUUAUCCGGAAUGACUGGGCGUAAAGGGUGCGUAGGUGGUUCAGCAAGUUAGUAGCGUAACUCCGGGGCUCAACCUCGGCACUACUACUAAAACUGUUGGACUUGAGUGCAGGAGGGGCAACUGGAAUUCCUAGUGUAGCGGUGGAAUGCGUAGAUAUUAGGAGGAACACCAGUGGCGAAGGCGAGUUGCUGGACUGUAACUGACACUGAGGCACGAAAGCGUGGGGAGCAAACAGGAUUAGAUACCCCUGUAGUC
rnacentral:rRNA from 1 species